GUGCUUCGGCAGCACAUAUACUAAAAUUGGAACGAUACAGAGAAAAUUAGCAUGGCCCCUGUGCAAGAAAACUGUCUUGAUUUUUAUGUAUUCAUUUUUUUC